CUCCGGAAGAUACAACAACACUCGUCACAGAGCCAUCAACUGCAGCAUCUACAACAGAGGAGAAAACCACCACUGAAGAAUUCACAACACCAGAAACCACAGAAACCACAACAGUGGCAUUCACAACAGCUGAGACAACCAAUACAGAAGGAACAACGCAAGCUAU